rnacentral:rRNA from 1 species
AACGAACGCCAGCGGCGUGGAUUAGGCAUGCAAGUCGAACGUGAUCCGUAGCAAUACGGUGAAAGUGGCGGAAGGGUGAGUAAUGCAUAGAUAACGCACCCCCGAGUCUGGGAUAACUCCGGGAAACCGGAGCUAAGACUGGAUGGGGUCAGCGGGUCGCAUGGCCUGUUGACUAAAGGUAGCCUCUGAAUAUGCCUCCGCUCGGGGAACGAUCUAUGUCCUAUCAGCAGUUGGUGAGGGUAACGGCCCACCAAGGCAUUGACGGGUAGCCGGCCUUAGCGGGUGUCCGGCCACAUUGGGACUGAGACACUGCCCAAACUCCUACGGGAGGCUGCAGUCGAGGAUCUUCCGCAAUGGGCGAAAGCCUGACGGAGCGACGCCGCGUGU